rnacentral:rRNA from 1 species
UCUACGGGAGGCUGCCGUGGGGAAUAUUGGACAAUGGGCGAAAGCCUGAUCCAGCCAUGCCGCGUGUGUGAAGAAGGCCUUCGGGUUGUAAAGCACUUUCAGUGGGGAAGAAAGCCUUGGGGCUAAUACCCUCGAGGAAGGACAUCACCCACAGAAGAAGCACCGGCUAACUCCGUGCCAGCAGCCGCGGUAAUACGGAGGGUGCGAGCGUUAAUCGGAAUUACUGGGCGUAAAGCGCGCGUAGGCGGUCUGAUAAGCCGGUUGUGAAAGCCCCGGGCUCAACCUGGGAACGGCAUCCGGAACUGUCAGGCUAGAGUGCAGGAGAGGAAGGUAGAAUUCCCGGUGUAGCGGUGAAAUGCGUAGAGAUCGGGAGGAAUACCAGUGGCGAAGGCGGCCUUCUGGACUGACACUGACGCUGAGGUGCGAAAGCGUGGGUAGCAAACAGGAUUAGAUACCCUUGUAGUC